GGUAAGAAUAGCAUUCUUACCUUUUUGCCUGCUGGUCAUAGACAGAUUUCUUCACUAAAACAUCUUCAUGUUGUAAACGUUGACAGUCACAUUCAAACCAAUAUAAAAGAGAUUUGAUUCUGUCUGGAAUCGUCAGACCGUUUCUUGGUCGGCACUCGAAAACCUCGUUGAAAAAAAUGAUCAAACUGACCAUUUUAGUCGUUUGCGUUGUACUCGCUUACGCCAAGCCCCAACGUCCAGGUUUCUACAUUCCAGCGGAAUACAGCCAAAAUGAAGAAGUAAGGCCGUACUACGUUCGUGUUCUCCUUCGUCCAGCCAACGGGUUCCCUACGAUGACGGCCAAUACAGUUCCCAAUCUUUCCUACCCGACUUUCGUUCGGUUGCCUUCAUUGCCCAACAGACGUCAAUUCCGGCUUCCGGCAGGUGCCUAUUAUCUUCUACCAGCUAAUGCAGUUCGCAGCCGACAUGAUUUCCCCAUCAACGCGGCGCAUAAGCUCUUCCAACCAAUGGCUUUACCAUUAACUGUAGGUCCGCAGACACGUCCGUCUAUUGUUGCUACCGAAGACGAUGGUGAAUGCCAAGAUGAUUCGCCCGCCAUCUCUCCGAGCAAAGACGUUGAAUAGUAAAACUGAUUACAGGAAAAGAUAGUUUAAGAAUAAUAAUUCAUUUGAAAUUAAAGUGGUUACUUACGGUCAAUCGGGCAUUGUUGGCUAUUUGAUGGGGGGUUGUUAAAAAAAAAAUACACUUUAUUAAAAAAUCAAAA